AAUAUAUUUGAGGAGUUGUUUUUCUUAACAUUAGCUCCUACAUAAAUGCUAAGUAAAUUCUAAAUCUAAAUUCUAUUCUUUGAUUGUAAAGUUGGUAUGUUUUGUUAUUGGGCUAGUAGUUUAAUAGAAUAGGUAUCCAAAAUAUAUGCUAUGAGAGAAAAUAAACAAUGUGAUAUUUCAAAAUGAUGAAAUGCCAUAUAAAGUAGGUAAGACUGCAAACAUCAACCCUUUCUGAGCACACAAGUGUGGGACUCUUUGUGCAUUGGAUCACCCUUUUGUUAGACUUUCACUGGCUGAAUUUAAUGGGAGACUUAUUUUAAUGUUAGGA
rnacentral:misc_RNA from 1 species